AACUAUGUAAAAGGAGUGGUGGUUGAAAGGAGAAAAGAAAAAAGAAGAUGAAAAGAAAAAAAAAAGAAAAGAGGAAAAAGAGUUUUUAAUAGCUUUUGGAACUUUUUAUUUAUUUUUUUUUUUGGAUUUGGAAUUUUUUUUUUCAACUUUCGUAAAGACUUGCUAAUCUCCUUUUGCUAAGAAUUGAAAAAAUGGGAAAAUGGAAAUUGUUUUGAUUCUUCUCUUUGUGUUGGCAUCGCGGUGCAUUGGAAAGAAAGAUAGAAUUUUACUAUUUUAUUUUUGUUUGCUUUGUAACGGUCUUUGAUUGUCCAGAAGAAUGAAAAGAAGGUCCGUCAAGUUUUUUCAUACUUUUCUUUUUCUUAUUAAAAAUUACAUUUUUAGAAAAAAGGUUGAACGAGAAGAAGGGGAAAAAGAAGUGGAAAAGGAGACUUUCUCUUUGGAAACUUUUUUUUUGUUUCAUCUUUUUUGUAAAAUCGGUUUUUUAAAAUUUGUAAUUUCCCCCAAACCCGGUACCUUGAUA